GAUCUUACAAAACAAAUUAUAGUUAGGCUAGUUAGAUGGGAAGGAUUCAGAUUCAAUUCAUUACUAAUUUUUAUUGCACAAAGCAAUUUGCAAGAAGUUGUUGCGCUGACUUGUAUGGUUCUCUUAUUUAGAGAGCCUUACUCUCAAAAAAAUUUUAUAGCAUUAUUGCAGAUAUAAGAUUGCUAUACAUCUUCAAGCAUGAUUUGAAAUAAAUGCUGGAAAAAUAUCAUCAUGGUUUGUCUGGCCAUGUAGUUGUCGAGAUUAUUGCAAAUGAAUGCAGGAAAAAUAGGAUAUCAUUCUAUCCUUUUGUUCUGAAAUUUGGCUUAUGAUAAUAAUGUAGUGUACUCUGGGAAAUGCUAAAUGUUGUUAGCGUGUGUUUUUUGUUAUAACCUAAACAAAAACACUGUAGCAUUGUUUUUAGGUGACUCAUUCACCAGAGGGCAUGGAUACCCUACGCUAUUUUCUCUUUGAUUUUUGUGGAGUUGGUGCAAGCUGGAACAUGGAAAAUUUGGUGGAUGAAGAAAUCAAGGUGAUCAAA
rnacentral:misc_RNA from 1 species